AAACUACUCCCUCCGUCCCAUAUUAAGUGACUUUUUAUUCCAUGUAUCUGGAUGCAUUUUAGUAUAUAAAUACGUCCAUAUUUAGACAAAUUGGAGUCACUUAAUAUGGGACGGAGGGAGUAUUUC
rfam:Brachypodium distachyon strain Bd21 chromosome 2, whole genome shotgun sequence.